rnacentral:rRNA from 1 species
GUGAGUAGUUCAGAGUUUGAUCCUGGCUCAGGAUGAACGCUAGCUACAGGCUUAACACAUGCAAGUCGAGGGGCAGCACAGUGUAGCAAUACACGGGUGGCGACCGGCGCACGGGUGCGUAACGCGUAUCCAACCUUCCCGUUACUCUUGGAUAGCCUUCCGAAAGGGAGAUUAAUACAAGAUGGUAUUCAAAUUCCGCAUGUUAUUUGAAUUAAAGAUUUAUCGGUAACGGAUGGGGAUGCGUGACAUUAGAUAGUAGGCGGGGUAACGGCCCACCUAGUCUACGAUGUCUAGGGGUUCUGAGAGGAAGGUCCCCCACACUGGAACUGAGACACGGUCCAG